GAUGAACGCUGGCGGCGUGCCUAAUACAUGCAAGUCGAGCGAACGGACGAGAAGCUUGCUUCUCUGAUGUUAGCGGCGGACGGGUGAGUAACACGUGUAUACCCUACCUAUAAGACUGGUAUAACUUCGGGAAACCGGAGCUAAUACCGUAUAAUAUUCUGAACCGCAUGGUUCAAAAGUGAAAGACGGUCUUGCUGUCACUUAUAGAUGGAUCCGCGCUGCAUUAGCUAGUUGGUAAGUUAACGGCCUACCAAGGCAACGAGGCAUAGCCGACGUGAGAGAGUGAUAGGCCACACUGGAACUGAGACACGGUCCAGACGCCUACGAGAGGCAGCAGUAGGGAAUCUUCCGCAAUGGGCGAAAGCCUGACGGAGCAAGGCCGCGUGAGUGAUGACGGUCUUCCGAGCGUAAAACUCUGUUAUUAGGUGAGAACAUAUGUGUAAGUAACUGUGCACAUCUUGACGGUACCUAAUCAGAAAGCCACGGCUAACUACGUG
rnacentral:rRNA from 1 species